rnacentral:rRNA from 1 species
GAUGAACGCUGGCGGCGUGCCUAAUACAUGCAAGUCGAGCGAACAGACGAGGAGCUUACUCCUCUGACGUUAGCGGCGGACGGGUGAGUAACACGUGGAUAACCUACCUAUAAGACUGGGAUAACUUCGGGAAACCGGAGCUAAUACCGGAUAACAUGUUGAACCGCAUGGUUCAACAGUGAAAGACGGUCUUGCUGUCACUUAUAGAUGGAUCCGCGUCGCAUUAACUAGUUGGUAAGGUAACGGCUUACCAAGGCAACGAUGCGUAGCCGACCUGAGAGGGUGAUCGGCCACACUGGAACUGAGACACGGUCCAGACUCCUACGGGAGGCAGCAGUAGGGAAUCUUCCGCAAUGGGCGAAAGCCUGACGGAGCAACGCCGCGUGAGUGAAGAAGGUCUUCGGAUCGUAAAACUCUGUUAUUAGGGAAGAACAAAUGUGUAAGUAACUAUGCACGUCUUGACGGUACCUAAUCAGAAAGCCACGGCUAACUACGUG